GUGAAUCAUCGAAUCUUUGAACGCAUAUUGCGCCCUCUGGUAUUCCGGAGGGUAUGCCUGUUUGAGUGCCAUUAAUAUGUCAACAACAGAUGAGUUUUUUUCAGGACUUGCUCUGUUUGUUGGGUUGCUGAAGGACUGCUGGCAAAGAAUUUUCAUUGUCAGCUCCUUUUAAAUUCAUUAGCAGGAUCAGCAAUUGGCUUCAGUUUGAUAAGAUUGAACUGCUGCCUGGAUUGCACCCAAUGUUUCCAGCUUCUAAAAGUGGUCCGCUUCAAUGCAGGACUGCCUCAAUUUUGAGGCAAU
rnacentral:misc_RNA from 1 species